rnacentral:rRNA from 1 species
UGGGGAAUAUUGCACAAUGGACGGAAGUUUGAUGCAGCGACGCCGCGUGGAGGGUGUAGGCCUUCGGGUUGUGAACUCCUUUUUCUCGCGAAAAAGGCACAGUUUUGGCUGUGUUGAUGGUAGUGGGGGAAGAAGCGCCGGCUAACUACGUGCCAGCAGCCGCGGUAAUACGUAGGGCGCGAGCGUUGUCCGGAGUUAUUGGGCGUAAAGAGCUCGUAGGUGGUUCGUCGCGUCUGUCGUGAAAGCCAGCAGCUUAACUGUUGGUCUGCGGUGGGUACGGGCGGGCUUGAGUGCGGUAGGGGUGACUGGAAUUCCUGGUGUAGCGGUGGAAUGCGCAGAUAUCAGGAGGAACACCGAUGGCGAAGGCAGGUCACUGGGCCGUUACUGACACUGAGGAGCGAAAGCGUGGGGAGCGAGCAGG